CGAACGGGUGAGUAACGCGUAGGAACCUAUCACCGAGUGGGGGAUAACGCUGGGAAACCGGCGCUAAUACCGCAUGUGGUCCUUCAGCGAUGGAGGAAGAAAGCCGAAAGGCGCUCGAUGCGGGGCCUGCGUCCGAUUAGCUUGUUGGUGGGGUAUCGGCCUACCAAGGCGACGAUCGGUAGCUGGUCUGAGAGGAUGGUCAGCCACACUGGGACUGAGACACGGCCCAG
rnacentral:rRNA from 1 species